rnacentral:rRNA from 1 species
GUCGUCAGCUCGUGUCGUGAGAUGUUGGGUUAAGUCCCGCAACGAGCGCAACCCCUAUUGUUAGUUGCCAUCAUUCAGUUUGGGCACUCUAGCGAGACUGCCGGUAAUAAACCGGAGGAAGGUGGGAUGACGUCAAAUCAUCAUGCCCCUUAUGACCUGGGCUACACACGUGCUACAAUGGUUGGUACAACGAGUUGCGAGUCGGUGACGGCGAGCUAAUCUCUUAAAGCCAAUCUCAGUUCGGAUUGUAGGCUGCAACUCGCCUACAUGAAGUCGGAAUCGCUAGUAAUCGCGGAUCAGCACGCCGCGGUGAAUACGUUCCCGGGCCUU